rnacentral:rRNA from 1 species
CCUACGAGCGGCAGCAGUGAGGAAUAUUGGUCAAUGGACGCAAGUCUGAACCAGCCAUGCCGCGUGCAGGAAGACGGCUCUAUGAGUUGUAAACUGCUUUUGUACGAGGGUAAACGCAGAUACGCGUAUCUGUCUGAAAGUAUCGUACGAAUAAGGAUCGGCUAACUCCGGGCCAGCAGCCGCGGUAAUAAGGAGGAUUCAAGAGUUAUCCGGAUUUAUUGGGUUUAAAGGGUGAGUCGGCGGUCGGGUAAGUUAGAGGUGAAAUCCCGAGGCUCAACUUCGGAAUUGCCUCUGAUACUGUUCGGCUAGAGAGUAGUUGCGGUAGGCGGAAUGUAUGGUGUAGCGGUGAAAUGCUUAGAGAUCAUACAGAACACCGAUUGCGAAGGCAGCUUACCAAGCUACUUCUGACGUUGAGGCACGAAAGCGUGGGGAGCAAACAGGAUUAGAUACCCUGUAGUC